rnacentral:rRNA from 1 species
CAACUUUCAACAACGGAUCUCUUGGUUCCGGCAUCGAUGAAGAACGCAGCGAAAUGCGAUACGUAGUGUGAAUUGCAGAAUUCAGUGAAUCAUCGAAUCUUUGAACGCACAUUGCGCCCUUUGGUAUUCCAAAGGGCAUGCCUGUUCGAGCGUCAUUU